UACGUAGGGUGCGAGCGUUGUCCGGAAUUAUUGGGCGUAAAGAGCUCGUAGGCGGUUUGUCGCGUCUGCUGUGAAAACUCGGGGCUUAACUCCGGGCCUGCAGUGGGUACGGGCAGACUAGAGUGCGGUAGGGGAGACUGGAAUUCCUGGUGUAGCGGUGAAAUGCGCAGAUAUCAGGAGGAACACCGGUGGCGAAGGCGGGUCUCUGGGCCGUAACUGACGCUGAGGAGCGAAAGCAUGGGGAGCGAACAGG
rnacentral:rRNA from 1 species